rnacentral:sRNA from 1 species
UUUACAAGGGCAGGGUGCACAGGGGACGGGGGAAGCUGGAGACACAUUUGCAAGCUGAAAACAGACAUGAUGGUUCUGGUCUGCAGACCUUUCUCUUGCUGUUAUAGGUGACCACCUAAGGACCUGUUUGGCUUAUGUAGAUGUUGAAGGAUUUGACCAUUUGACUCCAUAGAAACUAAUGGGAGUCCAUGGCUGGGGCUGUUCUACACUCCGCAGUCAUGAGUUAGGAAGUGACACAGCUUGAUAGGCAUUGUAGUUAAGGCACAGGUGUGCUGGGUAUGGCAUUGUAGUUAAGGCACAGGUGUGCAGGGUAUGGCAUUGUAGUUAAGGCACAGGUGUGCUGGGCACGGCAUUGUAGUUAAGGCACAGGUGUGCUGGGUAUGGCAUUGUAGUUAAGGCACAGGUGUGCUGGGCACGGCAUUGUAGUUAAGGCACAGGUGUGCUGGGCACGGCAUUGUAGUUAAGGCACAGGUGUUCUGUGCUGGGCACAGCAUUAUAGUUAAGGCACAGUUGUGCUGGGCCCGGCAUUGUAGUUAAGGCACAGGUGUGCUGGGCACGGCACAGGUGUGCUGUGUACCUGUUGGACAGCUAAGGCUCGGGCUCCCAGGAAAGAAGUUUGCCAGUUUACAGUUCCUCUCAGAAAAUCUCAGGCAUUAGUUUUAGAAUGACACAGAUUCUAGAAAGGAGGUUUUACUUUAUUACACAACUGGCCUGGCACCCUGUGGCCCAGGCUGGCUUCACAGGAAUCCUCUUGCUUUCACCUUGAGUGCCAGGAUUGCAGGCAUGAGCCACCGUGCCCAGCUGGGGUGGUUACUUUAAUGUGUGAACAGCCCCCAGGUCAGAGUGAUAUUGUCCCUGGCCCUUCAUCUGUGUGGUCUUACCCAGCUGAGUGCAUUUACCAAACACUUCCUCUUAGCACCGAGAACUCAGUAAAUUGAGCUA